rnacentral:rRNA from 1 species
UGGGGAAUUUUGCGCAAUGGGGGAAACCCUGACGCAGCAACGCCGCGUGAGUGAUGAAGGCCUUCGGGUCGUAAAGCUCUGUCAGAGGGGAAGAAGUGUACGGGUGCUAAUAUCGCCUGUACUUGACGGUACCCUCAAAGGAAGCACCGGCUAACUCCGUGCCAGCAGCCGCGGUAAUACGGAGGGUGCAAGCGUUGUUCGGAAUUAUUGGGCGUAAAGCGCGUGUAGGCGGUCUUGUAAGUCUGAUGUGAAAGCCCCGGGCUCAACCUGGGAAGUGCAUUGGAAACUGCGAGACUUGAAUACGGGAGAGGGUAGUGGAAUUCCUAGUGUAGGAGUGAAAUCCGUAGAUAUUAGGAGGAACACCGGUGGCGAAGGCGGCUACCUGGACCGAUAUUGACGCUGAGACGCGAAAGCGUGGGGAGCAAACAG